GGAGGUGGAUGGGUGCUGGUGUGCCUGCUGGACUUCAAAUCCAGAUGUCCCGAGUUCGGGAUGGUAGGUUCGAUUCCUACACACCUCCGCCA
rnacentral:tRNA from 1 species